CAAAGGUAGCAUAAUCAUUUGUCCACUAAUUAUGGCUAGUAUGAAAGGCAAAAUGAGGGUUUAACUGUCUCUUAUAGUAAGUCAAUUAAACUGAUCUACCAGUAAAAAAGCUGGAAUAAACACACAAGACCAGAAGACCCUGUGAAGCUUAAACUAAACUGUUAAACCACAUAACACCUACUUUCGGUUGGGGCGACCUUGGAAAAAAAAAGAACUUCCAAACUAAUGACAUUAAUCAUCCCCAGGCCAACAAGCCACAUACGACCCAGCACAUCUGACAAUUGAACCAAGUUACCCAGGGAUAACAGCGCCAUCUUCUUCAAGAUCCAUAUCAAAAAGAAGGUUUACGACCUCGAUGUUGGAU
rnacentral:rRNA from 1 species